rnacentral:rRNA from 1 species
CGCUUCUUGUAAUUAUAAGAGGUCUAGCCUGCCCGCUGAAAAUUGAAGGGCCGCGGUAUUUUGACCGUGCAAAGGUAGCAUAAUCAUUAGUCUCUUAAUUAGAGGCCGGUAUGAAUGGUUGGACGAGGUGUUUACUGUCUCACAAGGAUUGGGUUAUAAUUUAACUUUUCAGUCAAAAGGCUGAAAUAAGGUUGGAGGACGAGAAGACCCUAUAGAGCUUGACAAUUAUGGGUGAUAAAUUUAUUUAGAGUAGAGUAGGGUUUGACUUAAAAUUGUUUGGUUGGGGUGACGGGGAGAUAGGGUAAACUCUUCUUGGAGAGUAAUAUGGAUGAAUAGGUUCUUGAUCCAUUAAUAAUGAUUAUAAGACUAAGUUACCUUAGGGAUAACAGCGUAAUCUUUUUCGAGAGUUCUAAUCGACAAAAAGGAUUGCGACCUCGAUGUUGGAUUAAGAGUAAUUUUGGGUGUAGAAGUUCAAAGUUUAGGUCUGUUCGACCUUUAAAUUCUUACAU